GGUGCGUAUUUGUCCUGCGUUAGCAAUGCAAGCUAGCCCUCGCAAAAUGAGCCAGAAACAGAGUUCACUGGAGAGUUUCUUUGGAAAGAGUAAACGAGACAACAGAGGCAGCAGAAGGGUCACAGACUGCCUGCAAAACAAAGCUGCAUUUAAAAGAAAAUACCAAGAUUCCUACCUGAGUUACGGGUUCAUCGCAACAGGUGAUUCACAAGCCCCACACCCACUCUGUGGAAUAUGCGGUGACAGACUUGCUAAUGAAGCCAUGAAACCAUCAAAACUGCGCCGCCACACGGAAACAAAACACCCGGCAUUGAAAGAAAAGCCCGUAGAAUAUUUUGAAAGAAAAAAACGGGAACAUGAAGGACAGAAACAAUUAUUGAAGGCCACUACUUCACCAAAUGUGUCCGCGCUGAAAGCAUCAUUCCUGGUCGCGGACGGCAUUGCUAAAGCUAAGAAGCCCUUUACUAUUGGGGAAGAAUUCAUUUGGCCUGCUACAAAGGACAUUUGCUGCGAACUUUUCGGAGAGGCUCCAGUAAAAAAGGUCGAAAACAUCCCCCUUUCGGCGAGCACCGUAACAAGAAGAAUUAAUGAAAUAGCAGAGGACGUCGAGACUGGGGAAGGAAUGGAUCCGGAACCCAUUUGUGAACAAGCCAGGGGAAUCAACUUUAACCCUACAAGAAGAGGAACAACUAGUUGAGAUUGCAAAUGAUGGUGGCCUUCAAUCCAUGUUUGGAACAACUUCAAAUCUCUUUGCAUUCUGGAGUAAAGUCAAAGCAGAACAUCCUGACAUUGCCACAAAAGCACUGAAAGUCCUGCUUCCAUUUUCAACCUCUUAUCUUUGUGAGGUGGGUUUUCUGCAGUGACAGCAACAAAAACAAGACUACGGAGUAGACUGGAUAUAAGGAAUACAAGUCAAGUGUCAUUGUCUCCCAUCACCUCCAGAUGGGACCGUCUAGUUGCAGGAAAACAAGCCCAGAGCUCCCACUGAUUCUACAUUUUGCGGUAAAACGUGAGAUAAUUACCUCCAGUUUGGGGAAGCCGAGCCCCACCAGGAAGUUGGCGGUCCAGUUGGAGCAGCCGGAGAUGGCCAUGGCGGCCGGCCGGGGCCCCUGGGAGAAGAGCUCGGCCACGAUGAACCAGGGGAUCGGACCCGGACCCAUCUCGAAGCUGGCGACGAAGCCGAAGACGCCCACGAUGGCCAGGUAGCUGAGGGACGGGGUGGCCUUCUGCUCACAAACAAGGAGUAAAAGUUAGAACAGGGCUUUUAUUUUUAAGGAACGGUGCAACAGGAAGCCCACUCACCACCAGAGACAGGGAGAUGGUCAUGAUGAGGGCGCAGAUCGCCAUCCCGGCCAGGCCGAUCAGGUGCAGCGUUCUGCGUCCGGCCCGCUCAACCAGGAAGAGCUGCAGUCCGGACGAUAAAACCGGUCAGAAAACGAAGAUAAAACCGGUCAGAAAACGAAAAUAAAACAGGAUUAAAACUCCUGAAGAGUCCGAAACUCACAGAGACGACGGUGAACACGGUGUUCACGACUCCAGCACCGAUGGUGGCGUAGAUCGGCUGAGUGACGCCGGCAGCGUCGAAGAUUCCAGUAGAGUAAUAAAACACCUGAAGACAGAAGAAACAGGAGUUAAUAAUAAUAUUACUGUCCAGAAAUAUCAUUCAGCUGCAUCAGCUUAACCCUCCUGUCGUCCUGCAGGUCAAAACUGACCCGUUUUAAAGUUUGAAAAUGUGGAAAAAAAAAUGUAUAGUGAAACUUCUGAUGUCCACAUUUUCAACAUUUUUGGGAAAUCUUUGAACAUUUUUUGGUGGGAAAAAAAUGUUAAGAAUGUUUCUUAAGAACAUUCACAAAAAAAUCAACCAAAUUCCGUUGGAUUUUGGUUGAUUUUUUUGUGAACGUUCUUAAAGAAAAUAUUAGAAGUUUUACUGAUAUAUAUGGAAUCACUUUAGAUAUUUUUAGGAUUUUUUUUUAAAGAUUUUUACUCAUUUUUUGAAAAUAUUUACAAGAAUUUUCUUGCCAAAUUUGGGGGAUUUUUUUUUUUAAAUAAAACUUUCAAGGGAAACUUUUAAGGAAUUAUUGGAAUUUUCUUCCUGAAGGUUUUGCAAAUUUUCAGAAAUUUGGGAAAUUUUUUUGCAGAUUUUUUGGAUUUUUUUCAGACAAGGAAACAAUAUUUUUUGCUGCCCGUAAAUGAGGACAACAGGAGGGUUAAUACAUCUCAAAUUAGGAGGUUACAUGAAAGCAAAAAUCUAUUUUUGAGUGAAAAACUGCUAUUUUUUAGUAUGUCUGGCUUAUGUUAAGACACCUAAGCUUGACAAUCCUGGUAAAAUAGAGCUUAAAAUAAGUUUUCCCAGCUAAUUUUUUCCAGUGUAUAUCUCUUUAUGGUUAGCUGGACUCAGUUUAUUUUCACUUUGGUUUGUUCAGUUUCUACUUGGGAGCCUGAAUUUUUUUAACACCGUCUUUAUAAAGUGUUUAUUUCGCCGCUGGUCUCAGAGCUGCUAGGAUGUUCUAUUCCUUCCUGACUCUCCGUGGAUUGGUUUUGCUCCACAGAUUGAGGACCAGUUCUGGUUUAUUCCUGCUGCUCAUGUGGGUCACGACUGUCGAAGCGGAGUUCAGUCGAUGCUGCAGCUUCUGGCCGGAGGCUGCAGCUGCUUCACUCCGGGUCAGACGCUGAUGAAUGUGGGCAGCGUGGUGACCUCAUUAACCAAAUAUCUGUUAAACACCAGAGCCGUCUCCUCCGCCGACCCCCGGCGUUUGUUCCGGUCGAUGGGCUCGGAUCGUCACAAACGGCGGCAUCGUCUCGGCCAGCGAACGCUCCUCUAGAGGUUGGGGCUGAUUCUACUCACUGCGUUGAUGCCCGACAGCUGCUGGGAGAGCUGCAGGAUGAUGGCGAUGAUGAUGGGCUGCCGGUAGUUCUGAGACCUGAAGAUCUCCAGGACGGUGACCUUCUUCUCCAGAGCCAUCUUCAUGCCUUCCUCCUUCAUCUCCUGGAUGUCGUCGUUCACGUCUUCAGAGCCGCGGAGUCGCACCAGAGCUGCAAAAACGAGAAGUUGUUUUUUUUUACUUUAUGAUCAACACGACAAAAGUUAGACAAAAAAAGGCAACAAUAUUACAAAAAUGAGACACAAAAUGACAACAAUGAACAAUCUAGUAUUUUACUUUAGGAUCCAAACAACUUGUCAUGAUCUAGAAAUUAUUUUAAAUUUAUAGUUUCACUAAUUUACAAUCUGCAGUUAAUGUCUUCUCUGGAAUUUUUAUACUUUGAGGGCCAGAUUGGACCCUCUGGAGGGCCGCUUUAGGCCCGCGGGCCUCAUGUUGGACACCCCUGGUUUAUUUAGAGGAAGAACGGACCUUUCCUGGCCUCCUCCUCCUGGUUGAGGACGAUCAGCAGGUAUCGAGGACUUUCAGGGCAGAAGGGCAGCAUGAUGCUCUGCAGGAUGGCAGGAACGACGGUGAGGGCCAGGAGAAGAGGCCACAGCGAGUCGGAACCCAGCAGGAACUCCAGACCGAAGAUCUGUACACAGAAAAACAGAUUAUUAACCAGCAUCAUCUCAUUCUGAUGCAGAUCUGCAGCGUUGAUCGUUCAGGACGUCUGAUAUUUUAUCUCAUUAACCUUCAGGUUUCAUCUAUAAAAGUUACACAAAUAAAAAAAGCCAUUAAAAUAUUUUACAUUGGUAUUAUUUUCCACUUUAAAUCACUAUUGUUUAACCAUUAUCACUCCUGAUCAUAAUAACCAAAUAGUAAUUCAGUUUCAGGAUUUUUCUGCUUUAAAUGGCAGUUUGUUUACAGUUAAAAUAAACACCAAAAAUGAAAUAUUUUCUAUAUAAUUACUGUUUGAUUAGAUUUCUUUUUUCAGUGUCUGUUUUUUUUUUUUUUUUAAAGUCACUUUGUUUUCUGUAGGUCCAGAAAUGUUUUUAAUCAAAAAAACUGACAUAAAAAUUGUAUCUGAUUUUGGUGGAAUAUUAUUUUUUUGUGUAGUUUCAGAUUGUUUUAAAAGAAGAACUCCUUGCUUUUAUCUUUAACUAGAUUGUUCUUUUCAAAAACAGCCAUAAAAAUUCUACAUUUUAAUGUUGUUUUUCACUUUCAACAACUAAUUUAUUUGAAAGAAGAUAAAUCUUUAUCAUAAUUAUCAAUAAUGAAUUCAUUUUCAUGAUUUUAACGCUUUAAAUACCAGUUUAUUUACAUGAUGCCAUGGUUGCUUGAUUGCAAAAAAAGAACAUUUUCCGCAUCAUAAAGGUUAAAUGGAUUUUUCUUUUUAAAUAUUUUAUAACUGUCAUGUGACACUAAUUCUGUUGCUUUAUUAUUAGAAUUAUUGUUAUAUUAAUUGCAAAAAAAUGCAAAAAAGAGUGUUUUCCAUAUAAUUAAUGGUAAGUGGAUUUGUUUUUUUAAUGUUUGUGUUUAAAGUUCAUUAUUUUUUGCUCAGUUUCUGACAUUUUUAAAAGUCACACUUUGGACUUUAAGGUUAAAAUUGUGAAAACGGCCGUAAGAAUCUUCUAUAUUUUUAUUAUUCUGCAGUUUAACUGAGUGAGACAGCAGAUUUCUAGAUGUGUGUGUGAGUUCCUGAUGUCUGAUCUCAGUAUUUAUCUUCAGUAUUUAUUUAUUUAAUGAUCUUUCCGUACCUGAGCCACCAGGAUGCCGAUGACGACGCCCAGCUGGUGCAGCGUCCCGAAGGCUCCUCUGACGGCGGUGGGGGAAAUCUCUCCGACGUACAUCGGCGUCAGACCGGUGCACAAACCGCAGAAGACGCCGAUGACCAGCCGGCCGACGAUCACCAUCUCAAAGGACUGACUGAGGGUGGAGAGUCCCAUCAGACCUCCUCCCACCAGAGCCAGGAUGUUGGAGAGCAGCAUGGACUUCCUCCUGGAGACCAGAACAAAAACGUCCCACCUGCCGAACGUGUUGACCAUGGUCCCCACUGAGAACGAUCCGAUCAUCCCUCCCACGCUGAAGAUGGCCACGGCGAAGCUCCACACCAUGGUGUUGGUUCCAGGACUGAAGGGUUCCCCAUAGCGCUCC